ensembl:snoRNA
GAGUGCUGUUUGUAACUUGUUAGUUAACCUGGUUGUAAGUAAUAGGUUUCAUUUCAGUAUGACAGCAUUUCCAGUGAUACAUGACUGACUGACUGGUGGCUUUCAGUUUCAGAUUAUGGCUACAAAA